CUGAUAGCCGACCAGGGAAACGUGUGUGUCAGAGCCUGCCAUGAAGCCCUAGGAAGUCAGAACUGGAAGGGAUCUUAGGGAGGCCGGCCAACCCUUCACUUCUUCACCAUUGCGAUGGGGACACAGGCAAAGUGGCUCGCUCCUGGAUGCACAGGGAUCUUUCUGACCCAGGGAUCAAACUCUUAUCUCCUGUGUCGGCAAGCAGAUUCUUUAUCACUGAGCCAGGUUGCUGUGCAGAAGAUCCACUCAGUAGGUGACAUUUUCUCAGCUUGCUUCAGAAGAGGAAAGGCAGACUCUCAAAACCCUCAGAAAGGUUUUUCUAGGUCAGUGGGAGAGAAGAGUGGUCCAGAAGCCUGGGGCUGGCUCCCUGGAGGGGCUGGUAAGGGAGCCACUUAGAGACGGGAGAGGAGCGUCUAUCUUCAGGCUGUGAGGCAUCAGUUAGGAAAGCUGGACCAGAAGAGUCUCCAAGCUCAUGUGCAGUGUGGGUGCCCCAGAGCCAGGGGCUCAGCACCUCCGGAAAGAAGGCACAUGCUUUACAUCCACCCCUACAGAGAAGAGACCCUGCUUACUUCUCCCACCUUCUAGAAAAUGCUCAAUGCAGACUUUAGUACUA
ensembl:lncRNA